rnacentral:tRNA from 1 species
GGCUUAGACGGUAAAGUGUCUGCCUACAAUGCAGGAGACCCAGGUUCAAUCCCUGG